AAUCAGUUCACUGGAGGCAUUCCACAAGCCAUAGGGAGUUUAUCCAACCUUGAAGGAUUAUAUCUUCCUUAUAACAAAUUGACAGGUGGAAUUCCUAAAGAGAUUGGGAAUCUUUCAAAUUUAAAUCUUUUGCACUUAGCGUCUAAUGGAAUUAGUGGCCCUAUUCCUGUCGAAAUUUUCAAUAUCUCUUCAUUGCAAGGGAUUGAUUUCAGUAAUAAUAGCCUUUCUGGGAGUCUUCCAAGGGAUAUUUGUAAACAUCUUCCUAAUCUCCAAUGGCUAUAUCUUGCUCGGAAUCAUCUCAGUGGUCAACUUCCUACAACUUUAUCCUUAUGUGGAGAGCUCUUGCUCCUGUCACUAUCAUUCAAUAAAUUCAGAGGAAGCAUACCAAGAGAAAUUGGCAACUUAUCAAAGCUUGAAGAGAUCUAUCUAUAUCACAAUAGCCUCGUAGGUUCCAUUCCAACUUCAUUUGGUAAUUUGAAGGCCUUAAAACAUCUUCAGUUGGGAACAAACAAUCUUACGGGGACGAUACCAGAAGCUCUUUUUAACAUCUCUAAACUACAUAACCUUGCGUUGGUGCAAAAUCACCUUUCAGGCAGUCUCCCACCAAGUAUUGGCAAUGAAUUCAGUGGAAUAAUUCCAAUGUCUAUUUCAAAUAUGUCGAAACUUAUCCAACUACAGGUAUGGGACAACUCCUUCACUGGUAAUGUGCCAAAAGAUCUCGGUAACCUGACAAAGCUUGAAGUUCUCAACCUUGCAAACAAUCAAUUGACUGAUGAACACUUAGCCUCUGGGGUUAGUUUUCUUACUUCUUUGACAAAUUGCAAAUUUUUGAGAACAUUGUGGAUAGGUUAUAAUCCUUUGAAAGGUACUCUUCCAAAUUCACUAGGGAAUCUUCCCAUUGCUCUUGAAAGUUUUAAUGCAUAUGCCUGCCAAUUCAGAGGAACCAUUCCCACAGGAAUUGGUAAUUUGACCAAUUUGAUAAUGCUGCACUUGGGAGCUAAUGACUUGACAGGGUCAAUUCCAACUACAUUGGGACAGCUACAAAAGCUUCAGGCGUUGUCCAUUGCUGGAAAUAGAAUACGAGGAUCCAUUCCAAAUGAUCUGUGCCAUUUGAAGAACUUGGGAUACUUGGGUUUGAGUUCUAACAAAUUGUCUGGAUCAACCCCAAGUUGUUUUGGAGAUCUUCUUGCGCUACGAGAACUCUUUCUUGACUCCAACGCGUUAGCUUUCAACAUUCCUACAUCCUUGUGGAGCCUUAGAGAUCUGUUGGUUCUUAACUUGUCUUCAAAUUUCUUGACUGGUAAUCUACCUCCCGAAGUUGGAAACAUGAAGUACAUUAUAACAUUGGACCUGUCAAAGAACCUAGUUUCAGGUUACAUUCCAAGCAGGAUGGGAAAACUACAAAAUUUGAUUACACUCUCCUUGUCCCAAAACAAACUACAAGGCCCAAUACCUGUAGAAUGUGGUGAUUUGGUAAGCUUGGAAUCAUUGGAUCUAUCCCAAAACAAUUUAUCUAGAAUCAUUCCCAAGUCAUUAGAGGCCCUUAUUUAUCUCAAGUAUCUAAAUGUUUCUUUCAAUAAACUACAAGGAGAAAUUCCGAAUGGAGGACCUUUCGUAAAUUUCAAUGCUGAAUCGUUCAUGUUCAAUGAAGCCUUAUGUGGAGCACCUCAUUUUCAAGUCAUGGCAUGUGAUAAAAACAACCGCACUCAAUCAUGGAAGACAAAGUCAUUCAUCUUGAAAUAUAUUCUAUUACCAGUCGGAUCAACAGUAACUUUAGUGGUUUUCAUUGUUCUGUGGAUACGUAGACGAGAUAACAUGGAAAUACCAACUCCAAUUGCCUCAUGGCUCCCUGGAACACAUGAAAAGAUUUCACACCAGCAGCUUCUUUAUGCAACAAAUGACUUUGGUGAAGACAAUUUGAUUGGGAAAGGAAGCCAGGGCAUGGUAUAUAAAGGGGUAUUAUCUAAUGGCUUAAUUGUUGCUAUAAAGGUUUUCAAUUUAGAAUUCCAAAGAGCCUUGAGGAGUUUCGAUUCAGAAUGUGAAGUGAUGCAAGGGAUUCGCCACCGAAAUCUUGUUAGGAUAAUUACCUGUUGCUCAAACCUCGAUUUCAAAGCAUUGGUACUCGAAUAUAUGCCUAAUGGAAGUCUUGAGAAGUGGUUGUAUUCCCACAACUAUUUUUUGGAUCUCAUCCAAAGAUUAAACAUUAUGAUAUAUGUAGCAUCAGCAUUAGAGUACCUUCAUCAUGAUUGUUCGAGCCUUGUGGUGCAUUGCGACUUGAAGCCCAGUAAUGUUUUGUUAGAUGACAAUAUGGUUGCACAUGUGGCGGAUUUUGGGAUUGCAAAACUCUUGACUGAAACAGAGUCUAUGCAGCAAACAAAGACCUUAGGCACAAUAGGCUAUAUGGCACCAGGUAAAGUUCCUUGCUACUUAUAUUCCUAUUUACUACAAUUUUUUUUUUAAUAUCUACCUUAUUUUAUUUUUAUUUCUUCGAAUUUAUGACCAAAACUAACAUCACACACAAGCAGAGCAUGGCUCAGCUGGGAUAGUAUCCACAAAGAGCGAUGUUUAUAGCUAUGAGAUCUUGUUGAUGGAAGUAUUUGCAAGGAAGAAGCCUAUGGAUGAAAUGUUCACUGGGGAUCUAACCUUGAAGACUUGGGUAGAGUCAUUAUCCAAUUCAGUGAUACAGGUUGUUGAUGUCAAUCUAUUGAGAAGAGAAGAUGAAGACCUUGGCACAAAGCUAAGUUGUUUGUCCUCCAUUAUGGCUUUAGCUCUGGCAUGUACAACCGAUUCACCUAAGGAGCGGAUCGACAUGAAAGAUGUGGUAGUUGAACUCAAGAAGAGCAGAAUCAAACUGUUGAUGUAAGGAUUAUUUCAAAAGAUGGGAUGGAACUUAAUAACAUCAAAUUGUUACACAACAGUUGAUGUCAAUAGUUCAAAGGAAGCCAAAAGUCGGAAUUUGGAGCCGAUUAAGAGUGCACAAAGCAAUAUCCCAAGCACUGUUAAGUAUAUGUCAUGGGUCUAGAUGUUUAAUUUCUUUGGUAUUUUCCACAUGACAACCAAAUGUGAAAAAAUCAUUUUUCUGAGCAUUUUUUUUCUUUCUUUAAUGCUUUUUGAGAACCAAACAUAAGCUAAGGGAUUCGUGGUGAUAGAUUAUAUUAAAAUAAUUUUCAGAUGAUUGAAUGACCAUGAAAAUCAUGGUAUUAGUCUUGAGUAAUAUCUUCAAUAGAAACAUAGUUUCCAAAUACAUGUAGUUUUAAUGAGCUAUGUGUGUUAAAGCUUGUUGUGUGCUCUAGUAAUUUAGCAUAUCGAUUUUCUCUUCUUGCCUUGAUAGUCCAUCUAACCCAUGGCUCUAAGGGCAUUUUGGGUAAACUUGAGAGAACUACCUCAAUUCUUAUCCUAUCAUUGAUAUGAUUUAUGAUUUAUAUAAGACUUGAAAAACUUGAAACUUUUAUCAAACAUGUGAUGAUUAACCUAAAAUAUAACAAUGAGAGGAACCAUUAAAAUAUUAUUUUAAUAAUUUUAUUAAAAAUGCGGUGGAAAACCAAAAUUUGAAGAACCUAAUUAUUUUAGAUAGACUUGGAAAAUAACUAUUUAUAGAAGAAAUAUACAAUUUUAGUUGACAUACAUUUAAUUUGUACAUGGAAUUAGUUUUCCCUAAAUAUAAAAGGAAAACAUAAUUGUAUGUUAACUUGAGUAAAUUCUUCACAAUUUCAUUAAAUUUUUAGGAACAAUUGAGACAUUGAAAAAAAGAAAAGAAAGAAUUAACUAAAAUCUAAUCAUUUAAACAAAUUCAUAUUUAAAAUGGACCUCUAAGUUGUUAAUGAAUCAGCAACUUAAAAACAUAAUACCUAAAUAAAAAUAUGAAUAGUAAUUACAAUUAUGUAUAGACCCAAACUAAACUUGAAUAUAAAAUUGUAUGUCAUGAAGAUGAAUUUGGAGCAAGAAAAUUGGAUUAUGGAAAAUGAUUCUUUUUCAUUACUCAAAUUUUAGAUAAGCAACAAAUCAAAUCCUUGAAAAUAUGACAGCAAUCAUAUUUUUAAUCUUUCCACAAUUUCAAAAAUUGAUGGAAAAAGAAAGGAAAAUAAGAUACAAUCUGGAAAUUUUUUCUUUUGUGAAAUUCCACAUUUUAUUAUAUCAAUAGUUGGAUUUUAUGUAUAUAUCCUGAAUCUCUCCAUUCUCAUACCCUGAAUCAUAUAGGUAUAUGCAAAACUACCCUAGGCCUCUAGAUCUUAUGCAACAGAAGCAAAAAAAAAAAAAACAUAUUUUUACAAUUCUAGGAUCAAGAGGAAAAUCAUUAGAAAACUUUACCUUUUAUUUGGAUGUUCCCGAAUCAAUUCUACUCAGAGAAUAUGAAGAACAAUGAAUUUGAAAGUCUUGUACACUUAAGAUCUUCCACCCGAUGACUUGAAUCCCGAUCUUGACACUCCAAAGUGUGGAAAAUGAUGAUCUCUUGGCUCUCACUAUCUCUCUCUUUCUUUGGAGCUGGAAGACAAAGUCUCUCUAAAGGUUGUGGAAACCCUAGCCUCUAUCAGUAUUUAUAGGGUUCCCUUACUAGGCUUAAGUGACUUAAGCCCACUAAGGCUUGGGUCACUUAAUCUUACCCAAAAUGGAUCCUAAUUGAUUAAUUAACCACAUAGGGUUGUCUAAUUAAUCAAUUAGCCUGAUUCAAAGAACUUGUUUACUAUCAUUUGUGCAACCUUGCAUAAUUACCAAAACGCCCUUUUGCAUAAGAAUGAACCAAGAGUCAAUUCAUCCCUCAUAAACCAUGUCAUCAUGGUACAUGAGCUCAGAGCGGAGACUAUUAGGAUCCAUAGGAGUACUGCCUCCCUCAUAAUUCAAUUCUAAAGUUAAUUCAACAUUCCACUAAAGAGAAUCAACUGCACUUUAGUAUCCUAUGUAAAUAACAACGAGAUGAAAAUUGGGGUUCGUGACAUACUAUCCACUACAUGAAGACUCCCUAUGAACUAGUGUUUGUAAUCUAAUAAGGUAGUGUUUUCAUCUAUUAAGGUUACCUCUCCAACCCUUGAUUUAUGGAUCCCGCUUUUUAUGUGAUCAAUUGACAUACUCUAGCUCUAAGGAGCAUAUGCCAAAUUACCCUUAAAGGAAAUGUUAUGACCAUAGUCUUCUAGAUCACAUAUCCUGUGGAUCACCCAAAGGGACACACUAUCUCAAUUCAUGAGAUAUCAUGGUGUCUCUAUUGAGAAUACCUAUGUCACCAACCUCCAUCAACAAUGAUCUAAUCCAUAGGAAUAUAUGACCACUUUAGGGUCUCACCCAUAGGUUAAAGCCUCAUGUUAACUUUGACACAAGCUGAAUAUCCUUCCAAGGUUGAGAGUUCAUGCAGUAUAGUAGCUUGGUGAAUCAUAACGAUUGAUAGCCUUAUGUCAUGAUUCAUCGUAGGUCUUGUCCAAUGCACAUCACAGGCUACACUCACCAUGGGAAAACCAUUCCGACAACUAAAACAAGUCACCCCUCUAACUAAGAGGUAGUGCACUAUAGUCUCAAAUGGAUAGCCCAAAUCUAUGAACCAAUUGUGGACAACUUAUCACUCUACAAGGAACCCAUGACUUGGGUCUUUUGUGCAACUCUUAACACACCCAAGUCAUGUAUAAUGUAAGUGACGUGGAUUGUGUAUACUCAAAUAACCAAUUAAUAUAAAUGAGACAUUUAAGGGAAACCAAAAAACAUAAAUAAAUAAAUUUAUAAAUGAAUCUCAAUAUGUUACAUCAUGUCAUGUUUUCCAAGGCUCAUACCAACAAUCGCUAGUUGAAGUCAUUAGUUGCUUUAAUCUACAAGUGAAACCCUAAAAUGGUUAUAUAUUCCUUAUGGAUUGAGUUGCUAUUGAUUAAGACAAGUGACAGAGGGUAUUUUUAAGAUAUGCACCAUGAUAUCUCAAACAUUUGAAAUAGUGUGUCCUCUUGGGUGAUUUUAAGAAUUUGUGAUCAUGAAAUCUAUAAUUGUAAUAAUUCCUUAAGUGGAAUUUGAUAUAUGCUCUUAUAAGUAAUAAUGUCUCAAUUGAUUACAUAACAAGAGGAUUUGAGACUCAAGGAUAGUAGAGUGAUCUUAAUAGGAUGAUGACUAUACCUCAUUAGAUUAAAUAUACUAGUUCAUGAAGGGUUUACAUACAAAGAUAACAAGUCACAAACUCGAAAAAUUGAUGAAAUUCAAUUUAAUCAAUUUUUUUCUCUAUUUAAUAUCAUAGGCUACUACUAGAGUAUUCUAGUCAACCCUCUAAAGUGGAAUGUUGAGUCAACUUCAAAAUUGGAUUUUAAGGGAGCUAGUAUUGUCCUAGGGUCCUAGUGGUCCCCAUUUGAGCUCAUACUCCUUGGUGGAAUGUUAUUUUUAGUGAUUUAUGGGUUUUUAUUCAUACAUGUUUGGUAAAUAUGCAAGGUUGCAUAAGAGUUUAUGAAUGGUUUUUUUGGAUUGGGCUACUUAAAAUUAAUUGGAGCCCAAUAAGGCUAACUAAUUAAUUAAGACCAAGAAGGUCUAGAUCAAGUGAUCCAAGCCUAAGAUGGGCUUAACUCACUUAAGCUCACAAAAAAAGUCUAUAUAAACCCUUUAGGGGUUUAGGGUUGGACACUCUUAGCCAUUGUUUUCUAAAGAGAAAGCCCCAACUUUCAUCAUUGUUAAGAGAUAACUCCAUCAUUCAACUUGAAUAAUUCAAUGGGUUUGUAUGCUUUUAUCUCAUCUUUUACCCUUAGCAUAAUGUUAGGAGAAGGUACCUAGGAAGUAACUUUUGGAAGAACAUUUCAUGUUAGUCUUUUCAGGAUUCAUCAAAGAUGGGACUGAUAUGCAUUUCAAAAAUGGAUACACUGAUAUGCAUUUAAGUCGAUAAUAGUUGCUCCUAUAUGAGAAAUAGAUAAGUUUUUACCAUUACUUAUUAUUAAUUUGCCUUUGCCUUUUUAGUCGUUCUUGAGAGACAAGUUGUUGAGAUUUGAAGUAACUUGAUUGGUUGGACUACUACCCAUGUACCAAGAAGGAUUAUUCACGAUUUCUAAACUAAUGAAGUAUGCUUGAGAAUUUUAAUUUUGGUUAUUGGCCUAAUGAGUUGUGGAAUUGUUGUUCUAACUAAUGUUUGUUACAAAAAUGCUAAGAUCAAAUUUUUGAUAACAUUUAAUUACUUUGUGACCUGGGUAUCUUGGUGAUAACAUUGUUGAUCUUGAUAUUCAUGUUUUCAUUCAUUUUAGUUGUAAUUGCUUUGGAAAUUACCUUUGUUUUUAUUGUUGUUACAAGUGUAGUCUUCUUUUGCUGCAUAAUUUACAGAUAUUGUCAUAUCAAUGGAAAUAACAGUAUUCAACUAUUCUAAACACAAUUCUUAGCUUUAAAGGAGGAAUUGCAUUUCUUGUAAGGAGGUGUUGUCGCUUCUUGAGGUGAUGUUCACUAUUACAAAAUUGUAUUCUAAUCUAAGACUUCCAAGAAUAUAAAGAGUCAAAUCAUCAUUUGAAAUAAUUUUUCCAAAAGCUAAGAGAGUAUCAACUAUGUUUCACAUCUUAAGAAUAUAAUCAUUGAUCUUGAGGAAACCUUUUCUUGUAAGGUUGCAACAUAUAAUGGAGUUGGAUGGUUCGUACUUUGAAUUCUGAGAUGAAAAGUCUUUCCAAGGUAGACUAAAUAUUAGUAGAGUUGAUGGAGCUAGUAACAUGUCCAAACAUUGAUUUAGAGAUGGAUGAUAGUAACUAACUCAUGAAAAUUUGAUAAACACAAUAGGGUUUUCACAUUCAAAGUUUGGAAUUACCUAAAUUGAAUCUCAAAUCUUAACUUUGGUGGAUUGUAGUGGACAAAUUUUGGUUCUAGUGAGAAAGCCAUCAAGUUUGUGGGCUCUUACUACAGGAAGAAUUUGAGAUCUUUAAAAGCUAUAGUUCUUCCAAUCAAGCUUGAUUGAAAUAGGAUUCAGGUUAGAGGGGAAAGGAAUUACAAUUGAUACCAUUGUAAUAUCGUACUAGUUGCAAUGGUUGAUUGAGGAUUUGCAAGGGGAGAAGUUUCAAUGGAUGAGAUCAAAGUAGAGGUAGGAUUGGGUUGGUCAAUUGCCAUUUAUAUUAGUGAAGAAAGCAUUGAUACCAAGUUAUAAUACAAAAAUAGAGUACAAAAUUUAAAGGAAAUAACUAUGAAAGGCUCUCAUAUUGUAAAUGAUAAUUAUGAACUGUAUUUCAUAUAUAAUACUAAUUUACAUAGAUAAUAAUCUUUAAUAACAAGCUUAAUAGUAUGAUAAACUCAGUAUUUAAUUGCAAACUACACUAAAGACAUACGCAUAGUUGGAUUUGACUUAUUUCAAAAUCAUGGCAUGCAAGAAUUAAAAGUUAGGGAAUGCAUAAUCAAAUACGUCUUUCUUCUUUCAAAUAUGUUUUAUGUUUCAAAGUAAUUUAAUAUAAAUUGAUAACAAUCAUUUGUUGAAAAAAUAGAGUAAAAUGGGUGUUUUCUUUACUCAACCAAAGAUAUGAUAUGAUCAAUGCUUAUAAUUGAAUUCAAGCAAUUUUGAAAAAUGCCCUUUAAUUUUAAAUUUUAUUUUUUUAUAUGUGAGAAUUAAAAUCUCAAAUUGGUUUAAAAAAAAAAAAAAAAACCCAGUGCAAAGUUAUAAAAAAAAAAUGAAUGAAGAUUAGCUUUUGGGAUAAUAUUUAUAGUUGAUUUGUCAAGGAAGCAACUUUUCUAGAAAAUAAAUCACGAUGGCAAUGCUAACUAUGGUUUUAUUUUUAUAAACAAAAGGUUCUCAUAUCAUCAAAUUAACAUAUAUAGUAGUUAACAGGUUUGAACUCAAAUUGAAUUUUUUAAUCAAAUAGUUGAGGCAACUUAGAUUUCUUAUUAAUACUUCAAAUUAGGAAUUUAAAAUGCGAGGAAUAAUUUUUUCAUAAAAUAUUUGAAAUAUGGAAUCAAUUAAUAUAAUUUGAUUAAGAAAAAAAAUCAACUAUUCAAACAUAUUUGAAAUGAAACUCCAAACUAUUAAAAUGAAAUAAAAUAUUUAAUAGAUAUGAAAUCAUUUCAUAUAUAUAUAUAUAUAUAUAUAUAUAUAUAUAUUAUAUAAUUUAAUUUAAUAUAAUAUAGUUAAAGCUAUAAUAUAAUAUUUAUUUGUGACAAACAAUAGUAGAUAUUUUUGUUGUUAAUACUCCCAAUAAAAAUUAAAAUUAAAACAUCAAUUAGCUAAUUAUAUUCUAUACUCAACAUUUGUGUUAAGUGCAUAGUUAGUUUCACAAAUUAUUUGAUAAUAUAUUAUAGAGUAAGAGACAUUAUUGUACACAAUUCAAACCAUCAUAUAGGCUACCUAAAUGUUUGGUAACCAUCAAUAUGUGAUUCAUGAUAUGUUUUCCUCCAAAUUAGUGCUAUUCAUGACAAGUUUUGCUCAAUUUAGUGCAUCUUUUAAAUAUUAUCGUUAUGUUUGAUUUCAAGAAAGUAUUAAGAAAAAAAUAUUAAAGAAAAUAAUUUUUUAUAUCUGUUUUUGCUAUGAAAAAUAUAAAAAAUAUAUAUAAUUAAAAUCAAUUAAAACUUAUCUAUUUUUAAAUUAUUUAAUCUUUAUAUAGAAGAGUUAAAACAAGUGAAAUAACAUAUAAAUAAUUUAUUGAUUUUAAAUAUACUUUCUAGUUUUCUUUACUUUUUUUUUUUUUACAUUUUUCUUCUCUAUUUUAUUUUCCUCGUAUUUUCUUGGAAUCAACAUCUCUUCAUUGAGGUUUUUGAAUCUGGCAGUGAAUAACCUAGAAGGUGAAAUCCCCUCCAAUUUGUCGCAUUGCAGAGAGCUUCGAGUGUUAUCAUUAUCAAUCAAUCAGUUCACUGGAGGCAUUCCACAAGCCAUUGGGAGUCUAUCCAACCUUGAAGAAUUAUAUCUUGGUUAUAACAAAUUGACAGGUGGACUUCCUAGGAGAGAUUGGGAAUCUUUCAAAUUUAAAUAUUUUGCAGUUAGGAUCUAAUGGAAUAAGUGGCCCUAUUCCUGCCGAGAUUUCCAAUAUCUCUUCAUUGCAAGGGAUUGAUUUCACUAAUAAUAGCCUUUCUGGGAGUCUUCCAAUGGGUAUCUGUAAACAUCUUCCUAAUCUCCAAUGGCUAUAUCUUGCUCGGAAUCAUCUCAGUGGUCAACUUCCUACAACUCUAUCCUUAUGUGGAGAGCUCCUG
rnacentral:lncRNA from 1 species